rnacentral:rRNA from 1 species
UACAGAGGUCUCAAGCGUUGUUCGGAUUCAUUGGGCGUAAAGGGUGCGUAGGUGGCGGGGUAAGUCAGGUGUGAAAUCUCGGAGCUCAACUCCGAAACUGCACUUGAUACUGCCUUGCUCGAGUACUGGAGAGGAGAUUGGAAUUUACAGUGUAGCAGUGAAAUGCGUAGAUAUCGUAAGGAAGACCAGUGGCGAAGGCGAAUCUCUGGACAGUUACUGACACUGAGGCACGAAGGCCAGGGGAGCAAACGGG